AGUGGUCCGCCGGAAGACGUCCCCACUGCACUCGCCAGCCCAAGCAGCAUCUCAACGGUCGACGGGGAUAAAACCAGUAAGACCUUUCCCUUACUCGUGUGCGCCAGAGAAGGUAUGUUGAGGAGACCGGCCAAGGGUAUCUUUGGUUUUGAAUGUGACUUGGGUUGCUGGCAAAACCCAACUGUCGUUGCGUAGACCGGCCAAGGGUACCUCGUUUUUAAGUGACUCUGACGAAGGCGAAAUCCAACCGUUGUUCCACGAAACCGCCUACCACCGUGGACAUCUGCGUGGCCUCCCCUCUCUCUUGGGUUUGGGCCCAGAAUGGCGUUCGAUUUCCAAUCGAGGUUCAUAAAAAGGUUAAAAGUAAUAAUACAAGGGACUUUUCCUUCUUUUUUACGGAAUGGCACUUUAUUGAGGUUGAGGAAUGCACACGGUCCCCAUAUGGUACUUUUUCCUCUUUUUGAGGGUGUUUGGAAAUAUAUUGACGCAGAAUUGUAUUUCCGUUCAUUAUUUCUGAGGUAAGAGAAUGUGAAGGGGAUUUUUGAGUGAACAUCAGCCAGUGUUUUGCAAUGUUUGCCUCGGCUUCGUGUGUGGAAAGGGCCACCUACAGCCCUCCAGCAUCUCCGAGCUUGCAAGUUCGUCGGCAGUAAGAUCGAUAAUCCUUUCUCUCAGUAGAUCUACAUUUUUAAUUCAGAUUUCAGAUUUUCAGGUUCUGCGCCUCCCUUAGGCAAAGUCUACAGAUUUUGCGAUGUCUCGGCUUGGAUUCCUGGUCGCAGCCAAAAGAAAUAUAUCCUCUCCGUCCAGAGUUCCUUUUUAGGAUUUCAUUCGCCAACAGCUCAUAGAUCUGAGCCACUCCCAAAUCUGCGCCGAGAUACACCCGCUGAAUGAAAGCCAACGCCCGCGGCACUGGAGCUUCACAUCGAUGUCUCCUGCGGUCAAGGCGAAAGGGCGAGACCGCUGUGGGUGGCGUCAGAAAAUCUUGCUGACACUGACCUUGAUGGUGACCUGUGUUGACCGUUGACCCGAACUGAGAUGGAGACGAUUUCCUGAGGUGCGCAUUCAGUCGUCAGCACGGAGGCGCAGAGGCAGUCACGGGGCGGGAAGUCCUCUGCGAAACGAAGACCCAGUCAGGGAACGUCAAGUGAUGUCACAGAUGUCCCGAAGGUCAUCACAAGUGGACGACUCUACACACUCUUCGUCGCGCCAUGACCUCGGGGACUGGCUCUGUUAGGGACAUCUGGAGAGGUUUUUUCCACUCGCCGGCCAAAGGUUGCUUGGAGGCGACUGGAAUCUGCAACGCGACGCAGGUUCCCGCCACCUCCUUGCCACUGUGGCCGCGGAGUUUUUUCCCUGUCCAGCGGAGUUUUUCCCCUGUCCAGCGGAGUUUUUUCCCCAGCGGCCAGAUCGGCACCAACACGAGGCGCUGCGUCGUUGCCAUGAAAGCUCGGGAAACAGCACAGAUAUUUCGAAUGCUGCGUUCCGUUGAUUUGUUGCCUUCUCCGUCCUAAUUAAGUAAACGGCACUAAUGGCGCUUUACUUAAUUAUGAUGCUUAUUUCAUGCGUGGUCCUCUGUUAUAUGCGAUACCAUAUCGUCGCUAUGUGUCACUAAUGGAUCAUCCGCCAUCAGUCUUCAAGAAACGAGCAA
rnacentral:lncRNA from 1 species